CCCUUAGAUGUUCUGGGCUGCACGCGUGCUACAAUGGCGUUUCCAGCAAGUCUGCGAACCCGAGAGGGCCAGCGGAUCUUCGAAUUGGCGUCGUGAUCGGGACAGUCGAUUGCAAUUAUUUGACUCAAACGAGGAAUUCCUUGUAAUCGCGAUUCAUCAUAUCGCGCUGAAUACGUCCCUGCCCUUUGUACUCACCGCCCGUCGCUCCUACCGAUUGAGCGAUCCGGUAAAUGUUUUGGAUUGGUGCCGGGGCGGCUAGCUGCCGGUCGCUACGAAAUUUUGUGAACCUUAUCGCUUAGAGGAAGGAAAAGUCGUAACA
rnacentral:rRNA from 1 species